AACCAUUCUUCGACCUCAUCUGGAUCAUCUGGGUCAUCUGGAUCAUACCUGAUGACCCAGAUGAACGGAUGUCCAGCUGCCUCGAGCCCUUUUCCGAUCUCCUUCAACUGAAUCACCGAGAUCAUUGUCAUGCUACCGAGGCUGAAAUAAACCACCGAUUUCGGAGCCAUAGAAUCUAGAAAAUCUAGAAUCUUAUCGUCGUCUACCAAGGAUCUUGAUCCUCGCACUGCCUUAUCUUCAAUCUCUUUGUUGCAUAAUGAAACUGGUCCGACUGGCCAGAUUUUCUUUCCGGUCAUCUUUCUAUAUCUACGAAGAAGAAGAAGGUCAAAGCAACGAGAACAUGAAGUAUAGCUCAUAGUUAGAGAGAGUACCUUUCGAUGAACAUUGGUUCCAAUUCAUAAAAAGUAUUAACGAGAAUCCCAUCUGCACUUUCGUCGGAAUCCAUAACUUCCGACCGCAUGUAUUCGAAUUCCGGCAGUGGGAAAAACAUAUUUUCCGUCAGACGUGGAACUUCGAGAUCAGAAAUCGCAUCAUCGGCACCGCUCAAAUCACCCCGACUGAAUAUCCUAUCGGAAAUCAAUGUGUAACAACAGACACUGUAAAACACAAACCUCGGAAACCCAAUUUUUUCCGAAAUCUUCCGUGUCCAUGGAUUGAAGAAAUCCGUUAUCAUUAUCGUCGGAAUGUUCGGAUUCUUCUGCUGAUUCUGCCGGAUGUAAGCUUCAAGUGGUUCGGCCAACAUAGCAACACCUUUAAAGAACCGAACUAUAAAAUCAGUUUUUCUUUCAAAAUCCGACGAUGGUGGUAGAACAUCCACGCUCUCACAGUCUUUCGGCAAACCAACCUCUUUUCCCGGAAACUUCAGCGAGAUGAAAUCGAGAGAUAGACCGGAUUUACCGAUCCGAUCUACUGUAGAUUGCAAUCUAGAAAGGUUGAAAGGAGUGGUUAUAAGACUGACCUGCAUACCACGUCCGGCGAGCACCCGUCCAAAGUCGACCAUCGGGAUUAUAUGACCUUGCGCCGGAAACGGAACAAGAACAAAGUGACCCACAUCUCCGUCCAUGGCCAAACGACUUCAGUCUUCAGCUCACCUGCUUCUGUUUAUAAUUUUUUGAAUCAUUCCGCAUAUCAACUUUGCGUCAUACAUGUAUUAUUGUCUUUUGCAGUACAUUAUUUUUCGUCGUACAUGUAUUAAUGUUUUUUUUACAGUAUAUUAUUUUAACCAUUAGAUUAAAUAUUAAUAAACACGAUUUGAUCCGUGAUAACUAAAUAUAUUUAAACACACAUGAUCACAUAAGAUUGUACUUGUUUAAGGCUAAAUGAUUCUUUAAUAUUUUAUCAUCUCCUCAUGAUUUUUGAUCUUCGGAUGGGGGAGAUUUUAGAAAAGUUGAAGAUCAAGGGUGACAAUUUGUGGCGGCACGACACGACACGUUUUAUUUUCGCAAGAUGGGUUUUUGAAGGAAGAGUGAUAUGUUCUUGUGAGACGAUCCACCGAUUUCGAAAGAUGUUUUUGCCGCCUCACUCAAAUCCAACACUCUCUUCCUCAUUUCCUCUCCAUUAUCAAUCACCUUCACCAAAAUCGGCGUAGGAAUCGGCGUCACGGUGUAAUUCUGCAAGAAGACGGUCUCUGUGACACCGAUUCCCACGCCGAUUUUCGCAACUUCCGUUAUGAAACUGGCGUUGGCGAAUUGAUCGGCAAAACAAGGCCAUGUGAUCAUUGGAACUCCGAAGGAGAUGCCCUCGAGCGAUGAGUUCCAACCGCAGUGCGUGAAGAAAGCUCCAGUGGAUGCAUGUGAGAGUAUCAGGAUUUGAGGUGCCCAUCCUCUUAUGAUCAGUGACCUCAUCUUCGUCCUCUCUUCUAAUCCAUCUUCUCUCAACCAUUUUUCGAUCUCAUCUUCUAAACUUUUUUCCCCAUACCUGAUGACCCAGAUGAACGGAUGUCUAGCUGCUUCGAGCCCUUUUCCGAUCUCCUUCAACUGAAUCACCGAGAGCCUAGUGAUGCUACCGAGGCUGAAGUAAACCACCGAUUUGGGAGCCAUAGAAUCUAGAAAAUCUAGAAUCUUAUCGUCG
rnacentral:lncRNA from 1 species